rnacentral:rRNA from 1 species
CAGCCGCGGUAAUUCCAGCUCCAAUAGCGUAUACUAAAGUUGUUGCGGUUAAAAAGCUCGUAGUUGGAUCUUGGAAUGUGUUCAAGCGGGUCAGCUUCUGGCUGUGCGCUGCUUGACGUGUUCUUCUAUUUGGUUUUGGUGCGGUGCGCUUAACUGCGUGUCGCUCCCGGCCGAAACGUUUACCUUGAAAAAAUUAGAGUGUUCAAAGCAGACCUGUUUGAGUCUGAAUAUUCGUGCAUGGAAUAAUGAAAUACGAAUUCGGUUCUAUUUUGUUGGUUUUCGGAACUCGAGUUAAUGAUCAAGAGGGACAGACGGGGGCAUUCGUACUCUGCCGUUAGAGGUGAAAUUCUUGGAUCGGCGGAAGACGCGCAACUGCGAAAGCAUUUGCCAAGAAUGUUUUCUUUAAUCAAGAACGAUAGUCGGAGGUUCGAAGACGAUCAGAUACCGUCCUAGUUUCGACUGUAAACUAUGCCAGCUAACGAUCAGACAGAGUUCUCUACGACUUGUCUGGCAGUUUCCGGGAAACCAAAGCGUUUGGGUUCCGGGGGAAGUAUGGUUGCAAAGCUGAAACUUAAAGGAAUUGACGGAAGGGCACCACCAGGAGUGGAGCCUGCGGCUUAAUUUGACUCAACACGGGGAAACUCACCCGGCCCGGACACAGUGAGGAUUGACAGAUUGAGAGUUCUUUCUUGAUUCUGUGGGUGGUGGUGCAUGGCCGUUCUUAGUUGGUGGAGCGAUUUGUCUGGUUAAUUCCGAUAACGAACGAGACUCUGGCAUGUUAAAUAGUCGCGGAAGUGCGUAUGCACUUGCCGAAUUGACUUCUUAGAGGGACUAGUGAUUUUAAUUCACACGAGAUUGAGCAAUAACAGGUCUGUGAUGCCAGGCGAUCGUUAAGCUGCAAG